UGUCACAGUCUCCUUUGCUUUGAGAUUUUCCUCCCCCGUUCAUUUGAGCCUUCUUUCUCUUUAGUCUUUACUUUCCUCCCCAGUCCCCCUUCCAUUAGAGCCAUGCCCCUGAUCUCUCCUCCGCCCUUAACUUUGUAUAAUGUUGUUCGUGUUUUCUCUCUCCUCUAUCUCUCUCUCAACAUCAUGACUCUCCCUAACUAUGCUAAUAUUUUUUGUUGUUGAUUCACAUUUCUCGAGUUCGAGAGUGAAGUUAGGGUCUGAUUUUGAUUUAUUUAUUUUUUUUUUGAAAAUUUGAUAUCUCCCCAGCUAUUUGUACUCAUCUCCUUCUGUUGAUUGUAUUUGUUUUCAUUUUUUUGCAGAAAAAUCUCAUAAAAUCGAUUUUGGCCUUGGGGUCGGCAAUUCCCGACAACAAUCUGGUGAAGCAGCGACUGGCAUUAGCGGCGCCAUAGCUAGAUUCUUGUUCCUCUUCUUAAAUGCUCGCCAGACUUACAUAGUGGGCAGCACAAGCCAAGGAAUUGAGUAUGAAAGGACAUGUGCACAACAUGCAGAUGAAAGCAGCUCAUAAAAAAGCUCAUGAAUCCAUAUUUCGUCAGAGAAAUUUGCCUCCUUCGGCUAUGGAUACAUCCUACAAUUUUGAUGCAGUGGCUGCAAGUUAUUGUGGAGCAGGUUCGUGAUGGUAGCACAAUGCGAGUCUACUUGCUCCCUGAGUUUCAGUAUUCAGUAUGUUCAGGUUUUUGUGGCUGCAAUCCAAGUUCAUAUGCUAGCAAACAAGUCUGAUAUUAUAGGUUUGCUUGAUAGAGAUGAUACUUGUGCAAAACAAGUAGCAAGCAUCUCAAUAGAAAAGGAACGUUUAGAAGCUUGUCUAAUAUAUGCAAAUACGACUUUAUCAUGACAUUUCUCAUUUAUCAUCUUUAUUUCAUUAACCAAAACAUCAUAA